UGGGUGAAACUUGUCUAGUGAGGUGGCUGGAGGGCCAAGGCAUAAAGAACCCCCAGAGUCACCACAGAGUGAGACCAGGAGCAGGCGUGCAGUAAGCAGAAGAAAGGGGCCUGGAAGAAGCUACUCCCCAGAGCAGCCAGGAGGAGGUGUCCCUAGCGGUUCUAGAGUUCCCUUUACCUUGCCAGGGUCCAUGGCAUGGCAGGCAGAGAUGGAUCUUCUGUCUUUGGAUAUCUCCUCUCCUACCUGCGGCAUUUGGAUUUCAGCUAGUAAAUAUCAGCUGUAUUAAACUGCCAGCACUGUUACUCCCAAAGAGUCUGUCAGCACCUUCUCACCCCAGGGAGAUCUGCACCAUCAAAAUUCACUCCUAGACACACUGGCAGAGCAGAGCUGCAGGACAGGAAUGACUUUGGCCCUCUUGUGAAUUCGGGGGAUUGUUUUUGCUGAUGGUGUUCACAUGUUUAGAUGCAUCGGAUAUUUACGGAGGACCCAGGAAAGAUGUAACCUAGAAAUAAAUCAAUAGGUUCCUUGUUAACUACGAUCCCGAACCCUGCAGUGCUGCCUAUACAGAUAUUGGACUGAAUGGAGCUCAACCUAUGUGUAUAUUGGACUGACUGGACUGCUGCCUCCCUGUAUGCUGGACUGUCUGCAACUCUGCCUACAUUUAUAUUGGGCCCACUGGAACAUUGUCUGCACAUUACAUUGAACCGACUAGAACAAUUACUGCAUACCCCCUACCAUGUAUUUAUAUUGAGACCGGGACACAACGCUCAGCCCCCUGCAGAUAAUUGAUGAUCACCAUCUUUAUAGAUUCUGAUCUGGAACAGAACCUCAUGUGUGUCCCACCCUACACAUAGGAGCUCCAGGUUCUACCAUGCCCCAAGCACCCUCCCACAAUAGGUCAUAACUCAUAUCUUCUCCACCCACAGAACAUAGAAUAGCUGGGUGGGUCUGAAUUGUAUGGGGGCAUUUAGAGGCCACAGCAGCAGCACACGCAACAGAUGGUGCUAUGAAGUGGAUCAGAAGGCACCGAGCAGCAGUCAUUAAUCUUCAUUCUCGCAAACCAGUCAGGACCCAGGAGUACGUGAAGAGCCAGGGCCAGGGAGCGGAGCUGGCUUCCCAGCAGCUUCUGAGCAUCCGGCCAAAUCCAAAGAUUCAGAGUGAGAGAAAAAGAGGAAAGAGAGAGCGGUUUUGUAACGGCAAUGCAAUUCACAUUCCUACAUAUGGUGAUGAUGGCUGGCACCAAAGAUACUCCCGUGAGCAGGAGCUGGCUCUGCUUGAUAGCAGGUGUUUCUGGCUUCUCCAGAGCAUAAGCUUGCAAUGAUUACAAUCAAGCCCUUUGAGUAGCUCAGGUGAACUUACUAUCUCUUCCCCCUAACCCAAGGAACCAGAAAUGGGCCUGUCUGCCCAGUUGUGGCUGAGCCUCUAGGGUCUCAUCCAACCCACAUAGAAACUGAUAGGAUCCUUGUCGUGGCUGUCAUGUGCACUGGAUCAGGUCCCUGCAGCAUAACAAGAAGGUUAUUGUGCAUCAAAAAUUAGAUCCUGCCCCUUCCAUCUGAGGAUCCCAAUGCACAUUACACACAGUAUUACAGCUUUCAGGCACUCCUGUGAUAGAGGCUGGAAUCAUUUGCCCUAUUUUACAGCUGGGGAAACUGAGGCACAGAAAAGUGAAGUGACAUACUACAGGUCCCACAGUGUCAAAGCUGAGGAUAGGAUUCAAGAGCCCUGUCUCCCAGCUCCUUAAAUGAUACUCACUUCUAGCAUUGCUUCUAAGUGUCAGCCCUGUAGUGCAGCUGGGCAGUGGCUGCUUUACAAUCUCUGAUGCUGGAGCUCCUCCCACACUGCCUUUGUCACAAAUAUCUUAUUCAACACAGUGUGUUUGCAGCUCCGAAUUAGUGACUGUAGUUAAACACUUUAUUUCCAAAUGCUCAGAUCCUGUAGUGCUCUGGCUGGCCAUAUCAGUAGAUAGAUAGAUUCAAUAACUGGCUGAGGUUGCCCCUGGGGUUCAUAGUGGGUUCUGGCUGCUUAGAACAGUAGCAGAGACCCCCAGCUGAUGUAUACUACCUUAUAUUCCCUUCUGAUCUCUAGUCUCCUAGGCAUUAAGAAUGUCUGUUUCACUGCUCACUCAAACAAGGUUCUAUACGAAAGCAUCAGAGAUUUUCCACUACCAAUCCCUAUGACAUACUAUGCACUACUGUCAGCCUCAGGCCUACAUGAUGCAUUAAAAUGGGGCCACGGCUGUCUAUACCUUGUGUAUAAUUCACAUGGGCCCUCUGGGAGCAGGAAAAUCUAAUUUUAUUAGAUUCAUUAUCCUUUUCUCGAGAAUUAAUAGCUCCUGAGAGCCUCAGCCUAAUGUGCUUGAUUUUACAUUGUAAUUGAACUGCAGUGGAAAAAUUGCUGCCUUGAUCAAAAACUUCUAGCAAACUUCCCUCACCUGUAGGCAGUGCUGUUGUGCGUAUGUGACAUUGCAAGCUACGUUUCAGAGGGCCUGGGUCUGUUGAGAUGACUCUGCAGAGUGGUUUUUAUAGUGACAAUAAAACACUGUUGUUCCUUCAUCCCCAGUGCUUUGUGUGUAGAGCUGGGUGAAUACCCAUUUGUUUGGCUCAGGGGAAAUUCCAAAAAAUAGUUGAAAAAAUUCAUUUCUGGUCAAACCCAACAAAAUUUUUUCAGAAUUUCUGGAGAACUGAAAAGUUGAAAAAACAUUGUUUUGGGUUGAAAAAAGUGUUUUAUGUCAGGUUUGACCAUUUUUAAAUGUUUUCAAUUGUUUAAAUAAAAUUAAAGGAUUUUUUUAAAACAAAAAGUCAUUUUGAACUGAAAAAUCAAACAUUUUAGUUUCGGGGCCAUUUUUCCUUCUUUAGGUUUGGUUUUUGAUUUGUGUGGUUUUUUAACUGAAACAAUUUUGGGACACGGACACAAAUUGGCAAAACAUUUUAGCAUCUCCAAAUCUGCAUUUUUCACCGGAAAAAAGUUUCAAUCAAAAAUUUUCAACCGGCUCUCAUCCGGACAGACCAAAAAGCAUCAUCCGAUACGUCACUUUUGGGGAAGGCGAGGGGAAUGUCAUUUUCUUAUUAACAAACCUUGCAAUUCUAACAUUAUCAAAAUGCAUCUGUUUCAUGAAUUGGAUGCUGUGUUUGCUGGCUGGUACCAAGAUACUAGAGCGGUCUUAGUUCAUUAGUGUAAGCAACCUGCCCACUCUCUGAACUUGCUGUAGCUGAAACUUGGUUUAGAAUCUUCUCUCUCUCUCUCUCUCACACACACACACAAAAUUAGAAUGUGGAACUCAUUGCCACAAGAUACCAUUGAUGCUAAGAUUUUAGUAGGCUUCAAUACCACGCCAAUGAAGGGUCUACAUUUUAAACAGAAUGACUAAUCAAUUUAUAUUGUAUUUGUUAGCAGCUAGGCUUUGUAUUGCACUGGGAAAAUGUGACUUCUGCUCCUAUGGAAUUGUGUAUAGUAAAAUAUGGACUGUUCUUGUAAUGGAAAAGCUUUCAGACCAAAUACAUACACAAGAGAAACACCAAAAAGAAGAUAGCUAUUUAGAAAUGUGGUCACCUCUUUUAGUGCACUCAGAGGACGGCUUCCCAGCCAGCAAGCCAAAACCUUUAGCCAGGUUCUUUGAAUAUUAACCUGAUCCAGAACAAGGAAUACAUAAUGUACAAUGUAGUAUGUUAACGUUUUAUUGUAACUUUGCCUGUAUAAAAAGUUGUUUUUAAA